GGUUAAGCGACUAAGCGUACACGGUGGAUGCCCUGGCAGUCAGAGGCGAUGAAGGACGUGCUAAUCUGCGAUAAGCGUCGGUAAGGUGAUAUGAACCGUUAUAACCGGCGAUUUCCGAAUGGGGAAACCCAGUGUGAUUCGUCACACUAUCAUUAACUGAAUCCAUAGGUUAAUGAGGCGAACCGGGGGAACUGAAACAUCUAAGUACCCCGAGGAAAAGAAAUCAACCGAGAUUCCCCCAGUAGCGGCGAGCGAACGGGGAGCAGCCCAGAGCCUGAAUCAGUGUGUGUGUUAGUGGAAGCGUCUGGAAAGGCGCGCGAUACAGGGUGACAGCCCCGUACACAAAAAUGCACAUACUGUGAGCUCGAUGAGUAGGGCGGGACACGUGGUAUCCUGUCUGAAUAUGGGGACCAUCCUCCAAGGCUAAAUACUCCUGACUGACCGAUAGUGAACCAGUACCGUGAGGGAAAGGCGAAAAGAACCCCGGCGAGGGAGUGAAAAAGAACCUGAAACCGUGUACGUACAAGCAGUGGGAGCACAGAGCAAUCUGUGUGACUGCGUACCUUUUGUAUAAUGGGUCAGCGACUUAUAUUCUGUAGCAAGGUUAACCGAAUAGGGGAGCCGAAGGGAAACCGAGUCUUAACUGGGCGUUAAGUUGCAGGGUAUAGACCCGAAACCCGGUGAUCUAGCCAUGGGCAGGUUGAAGGUUGGGUAACACUAACUGGAGGACCGAACCGACUAAUGUUGAAAAAUUAGCGGAUGACUUGUGGCUGGGGGUGAAAGGCCAAUCAAACCGGGAGAUAGCUGGUUCUCCCCGAAAGCUAUUUAGGUAGCGCCUCGUGAAUUCAUCUCCGGGGUAGAGCACUGUUUCGGCAAGGGGUCAUCCCGACUUACCAACCCGAUGCAAACUGCGAAUACCGGAGAAUGUUAUCACGGGAGACACACGGCGGGUGCUAACGUCCGUCGUGAAGAGGGAAACAACCCAGACCGCCAGCUAAGGUCCCAAAGUCAUGGUUAAGUGGGAAACGAUGUGGGAAGGCCCAGACAGCCAGGAUGUUGGCUUAGAAGCAGCCAUCAUUUAAAGAAAGCGUAAUAGCUCACUGGUCGAGUCGGCCUGCGCGGAAGAUGUAACGGGGCUAAACCAUGCACCGAAGCUGCGGCAGCGACGCUGAUGCGUUGUUGGGUAGGGGAGCGUUCUGUAAGCCUGUGAAGGUGUACUGUGAGGUAUGCUGGAGGUAUCAGAAGUGCGAAUGCUGACAUAAGUAACGAUAAAGCGGGUGAAAAGCCCGCUCGCCGGAAGACCAAGGGUUCCUGUCCAACGUUAAUCGGGGCAGGGUGAGUCGACCCCUAAGGCGAGGCCGAAAGGCGUAGUCGAUGGGAAACAGGUUAAUAUUCCUGUACUUGGUGUUACUGCGAAGGGGGACGGAGAAGGCUAUGUUGGCCGGGCGACGGUUGUCCCGGUUUAAGCGUGUAGGCUGGUUUUCCAGGCAAAUCCGGAAAAUCAAGGCUGAGGCGUGAUGACGAGGCACUACGGUGCUGAAGCAACAAAUGCCCUGCUUCCAGGAAAAGCCUCUAAGCAUCAGGUAACAUCAAAUCGUACCCCAAACCGACACAGGUGGUCAGGUAGAGAAUACCAAGGCGCUUGAGAGAACUCGGGUGAAGGAACUAGGCAAAAUGGUGCCGUAACUUCGGGAGAAGGCACGCUGAUAUGUAGGUGAAGUCCCUCGCGGAUGGAGCUGAAAUCAGUCGAAGAUACCAGCUGGCUGCAACUGUUUAUUAAAAACACAGCACUGUGCAAACACGAAAGUGGACGUAUACGGUGUGACGCCUGCCCGGUGCCGGAAGGUUAAUUGAUGGGGUUAGCGCAAGCGAAGCUCUUGAUCGAAGCCCCGGUAAACGGCGGCCGUAACUAUAACGGUCCUAAGGUAGCGAAAUUCCUUGUCGGGUAAGUUCCGACCUGCACGAAUGGCGUAAUGAUGGCCAGGCUGUCUCCACCCGAGACUCAGUGAAAUUGAACUCGCUGUGAAGAUGCAGUGUACCCGCGGCAAGACGGAAAGACCCCGUGAACCUUUACUAUAGCUUGACACUGAACAUUGAGCCUUGAUGUGUAGGAUAGGUGGGAGGCUUUGAAGUGUGGACGCCAGUCUGCAUGGAGCCGACCUUGAAAUACCACCCUUUAAUGUUUGAUGUUCUAACGUUGACCCGUAAUCCGGGUUGCGGACAGUGUCUGGUGGGUAGUUUGACUGGGGCGGUCUCCUCCUAAAGAGUAACGGAGGAGCACGAAGGUUGGCUAAUCCUGGUCGGACAUCAGGAGGUUAGUGCAAUGGCAUAAGCCAGCUUGACUGCGAGCGUGACGGCGCGAGCAGGUGCGAAAGCAGGUCAUAGUGAUCCGGUGGUUCUGAAUGGAAGGGCCAUCGCUCAACGGAUAAAAGGUACUCCGGGGAUAACAGGCUGAUACCGCCCAAGAGUUCAUAUCGACGGCGGUGUUUGGCACCUCGAUGUCGGCUCAUCACAUCCUGGGGCUGAAGUAGGUCCCAAGGGUAUGGCUGUUCGCCAUUUAAAGUGGUACGCGAGCUGGGUUUAGAACGUCGUGAGACAGUUCGGUCCCUAUCUGCCGUGGGCGCUGGAGAACUGAGGGGGCUGCUCCUAGUACGAGAGGACCGGAGUGGACGCAUCACUGGUGUUCGGGUUGUCAUGCCAAUGGCACUGCCCGGUAGCUAAAUGCGGAAGAGAUAAGUGCUGAAAGCAUCUAAGCACGAAACUUGCCCCGAGAUGAGUUCUCCCUGACUCCUUGAGAGUCCUGAAGGAACGUUGAAGACGACGACGUUGAUAGGCCGGAUGUGUAAGCGCAGCGAUGCGUUGAGCUAACCGGUACUAAUGAACCGUGAGGCUUAACCUU
rnacentral:rRNA from 1 species